CGGGGCGUGGCCUAGCCCGGUUUAAGGCGCUACACUGGGGGUGUAGAGAUCGGAAGUUCAAAUCUUCUCGCCCCGACCA
rnacentral:tRNA from 1 species